UCUUCGGGGUUCAGUCAACAAGUCCUAGUCCAGGCCUUCGCGGGCUGGGGCUGCCCAGCCAUUCCAGCUGCGAACUGAUGAGGAAGCCGGACCCGCGAGGCCCAGCUGUUUACAUCACACCCACUGAGAGCUUCCUGCCUGAAAGUAAUGGGAAUACAAACAAGACAGGAAAGGAGUGUUUGCUUUUUUUUAAAGGAGAGGGGCGGGCUGUAGAGAGACAGGAGCCACCCCACAUGGUUUCAUUGCUUUUCAAAACUUCGACGGUAUUUUAUUCCAUUUUCCCACUCCUAACACUUGUUGAAAAGUAGAAGCAUAGCUCUGCCAAACCUCAAACCAUUAAGGAACUUCUGCUCCGAAUUCAUCUUCACCUGGCUUUGGGAGGACUCCAAGUUUAGGGUCCUAGGGAGAGCUGGGCUAGAGGUGCGGAGAGUUCCCGAGGUUAAAUGGCACGAAUCUCAGAAGAAACAGACUCGCUGCAGCCCUGUGCCUGCCUGCCAAGGCCUGCACGGACACGCACACCCUCUCCCUUCCUUCAGGUCUGCACCAGAGUCUUGCCUCAGUCUCAUUCCAGCCCUCUGUCUCCAAGUGAUCAUUCUUGUUCUAGGCAUCCAGCAGGCCCUAAAAGUAAAUGGGCUUUGCAAGGGACAGACCUGAUGGAAUUCGAAGCAAUUCAUUAUAAUGAGGGAGGCUAAAGAAGGCUUCAAUUCCCAGUGCCAUUACUGCCGCUUGAAUGGUUCAUUAGCGCCUAGGAGGGGCAAACCCAUGUCAAGCCCAGGCUGGAAAACUGCCCACUCUCAAGGAGCAACCCAAGAGCACCUGCUCUUCUGCUAAUGAGGUGGACGUCCUACUGGAUUCAUGAGCAUUCUUUUAUGUGCCGUCUCCGUACCUGGGUUAUUACAAAGAGGAUACCGACCAGCUGUUCUUCAUCUCUGCCGAGGACAGAAGAGCUAUAAAAAGCUGGAGAGAGAAAGAAAGCGGAAAUUCCCAGGAGAAGAUCCCCAACCACAUCACGCCAUCAGAUCUCCGUAAGUACAAAGUCCGGCAGUGAUACCAAACAAAGCAUGAGAAGAAACCUCAGGAUUUUGAUACAGUCCACAUAAAUAAGUCCAAGAAGAAACCUCAGGAUUUUGUCACAAUCCACAUAAGUAAGCUUGGAUUGUUCUGAAACUAAACAGUGACAUUUCCACCCAAUAAACUUUCAGCUGACACAUGA